rnacentral:lncRNA from 1 species
AGGUAUACUUAGUCGCUGAACAACUAUAGUUGUUCAUCAUAGUGAUGAGAAGAGUUCUGCCUGUGUGAUUCAAGUAUCACCUGUUUGUAAGUUCCAGAACGCCUGAACUCAGUUUAAACUCAAGCCCAGAAAAGGCCAUCAUUUAACUGGAGCUGAUUUCACACAUCUGAUAGGUAUGGAACAGCUCCCAGGUGUUUUACUCCUGUGUCUUGUACAAACAUGAGUUUCUGAAGAGUUUAUACUGGUGUCAUGGAGGUGUGUUAAUGUGAAGACUGAGCAAAGAUUCACAUUACUUCAGUAACCUGAAACUUUUUAAAACUAUUAAAAUAGCCUGAUAACUUUAACAAACCCUAGAGCUAGGAAGGAAUUUGAAGUGAUGCUGUUUAUGCCCUGGUUGCUGAACACCUCAUUCUAUGCUGGAAUCUCUGAAGGACGAUGUGAAACUUCCCACGUGAAAUGUACUUUGCUGUAGCUCCUUCUAGUUAAGAAGCUUUGUUUCUAUCUUGCUGAAAUCUCUAUUGGAAAGGAUCCAAUAGAAACCAUUUGUCAUUUCUUUAUAGGAAGAAAACUAGAGCUGUCAAAUGCCUGUUCUGUAUUCUAGUUACAACACAGGGUAGGCUCAGUGAUAUUGAAAGAGGAAUCGCUUAUAUAUAAUGCAUUGUUUGUGAUUGUAAUG